UUAGAGAUAAGUUGUAUUUUCAUUGAUUUGUAGGUAAUUACAUGGCUAUAUUUAUAGAGUAAAUUUCCUAACAGAAUUGUGAUUCUGUUGCUAGGAAAGAUUAGAAGCAAAAACGAAAAGAUCACAGGCAAAACGAUUUUGGUAUUGCUGUCCCCUGAUUCCAGACAACAAUCAUCUGCAAAUUUUCCCUUGAACCAGCUCAGCAAGAUCCUCACACGUAGUCCUACAGGUAUGAGGGCUUUGUGAUUGUUCUUUUUGCUUUGUUUUCUAGUUGCACCCCACUGUUAAUGUCUUUACUAGGCUCACUACUAGUUGCUUGUUGCACCCUUGUUUCCCUAUCAUUCCACGACCCUUGCAAAUGCACCUUGUCUGCAAGGGGAUAAUCUCGGCACAAUUGGGGCCAGCUUUCCCAUGAGGUCUCAUCAGGGGAGAGGCCAGACCAUUGGACUAAAACUCCCCAAUGAGAAUCCACCCCAGAUGAAGCUUGACGAUAGUCAAGGAUUACUAAUGGAGAUAUAAGGGGCUGAUUGUGAACAAUUUGGUCGGGCAGGGGAGCUGCGUCUGCUGUCUCUGGUGGCCCCUUAAACUGCUUCAGAAGAGAACAGUGAAAUACUGGAUGAACACUGGUGCCCUCUAGAAGUUUCAAACGAUAGGAAACGGGCCCCACGUAGUCCAAAACUUGAAAUGAGCCAUAGAAACGCUUAGACAAUUUUCCGGAAGAGUCUUGUUGUUGUUUAGCCGAUGUUUGCUGGCGUGGUCGUAACUUGACCAUUACCUAAUCGCCAAUCUGGUAGACCACAUCCCGACACUUCCGGUCUGCAUGUUUCUUCAUAAGACCUUGUGCCUUAAUGAGCUUCUUGCGGAUGAGCAGGAAAGUUUCCUCGCGAUUAGGUAGCAUCUCAUCAACAACAUCCACCUUGGAAGUUCCGGUGAGGUACUCUGGAAAGUUAAAAGGUUUCCGCCCAAAGGUAAUCUUGUAAGGUAUGGACCUUGUCACAGCGUUCCACGCCAUGUUGUGAGACCAUUCAACCCACAAUAUUAGCUUACCCCAAGAACUCGGUCGUCGAUGAACAAAGGAUUGAAGGUAUUGUUCAAUUACCCUAUUAAGAACUUCUGUCUGCCCAUCACUUUGCGGGUGGUAUGCUGAGCUUAUGCGAAGCUGCGUUCCACUGAGAUGGAAUAAUUCCUGCCAAAAUCGGCUGAUAAAAAGGGGAUCACGGUCGGAGACCAUGCUUCAUGGCAGCCCAUGGAUUUUUCCGAUAAUAUUCAUGAAUAAGCAGGCGACAACAUGGGCUGUGUGAGAAGAUGGAAGCAUGCCCAAAUGGAUACCCUUAGAAAAGUGAUCCACAACUACGAGAAUAACAGUGUUUCCCUGAAAAGGUGGCAAGCCCAUAAUGAAAUCUAGGGAGAGAUCCUCCCAUGGCCGGUGUGGAACUGGAAGAGGGCAAAGUAACCCUGCCACCCUCUUUGUCUCACACUUGGCGUGCUGACAAUCAAGGCAACUCUCAACAAACUUAGUAACAUCAUCUCGCAACCCUUCCCAAAAAAAAUUGUCCAUCAGACGAGCUAUGGUUUUUGCAGUGCCCAAAUAACCUCCUGUCGAUGUGGCAUGGUACUCCAGAAGGAGUGUUCUGAUCAAGGGCAAUUACGGCGGCAACCAAAUACGACCCUUGCGGAGUAUCAGGCCAUUGGGUAUGGUGAACUCAAGGUACUUGGCCGGAAACGAUUGAAUUGCCUGAAUUCAGUCCUUAUAGUUCUGAUUUUGAGCCAUUUGAGCUCACAAUUCCUCCAUAAAAGUUAAAUAGGUCACUAAUAAGGUGAACAACAGAGAGGAUGCAUGUUCUGGUAAUCGCGAUAACUCUUCUACUGCCUGAUUCGUGGCACCUAAACGAAAUUGGAUUUGGUAAUCGUACCUCAUCAGUCGAGCAAGGUACAUGUGCUGCUACGGGGUUUGAAUGACUUGUGUGAGCAGCUCCUUCAGACUGUGGUGAUCUGUAAGGAUGGUAAAGCAGUGGUCGAGAAGAUAUUGCCGCCACUUCUUGAUCGCCACCGUGACUGCAAACAAUUCUUUGACAUAAGUGGAGGACCAUUGAAGCUUGGGCGGAAAUGGCUUACUGAAAUAUAUAUUGGGAUGGCCUUGCUAGGAAAGGAUCGCACCCAUGCCUACACCGGAAGCGUCUGUCACAACUGUGAAUGGUAACUGGAAGUCCGGUAAUGUGAGGACCGGAGCUUCGGACAGAGCUUGCUUCCAACGGUCGAAUGCUAUCUGAGCCGGAACGGUCCAUCUAAAAGGAUCCACUGUGGUUGCUGCCACCAACAGAGCGGCUAUCGUGGCAUAGCCCUUAAUAAACCUUCGAUAGAAUCCGGUGAGGCCCAAAAAGCUUCGUAAAGCUUUAAUGGAUUGCGGUACCGACCAUUGGUAUACCACCUCCACCUUUGCGGCAACUGGUUCCACCCCCUUUUGCAAAACCACGUGUCCAAGGUAUUCCACCUGUUGUUGUGCGAAUGAGCAUUUAGACAAUUUAAGGACAAAUUGAUUAUCCAAAAGGACCUGAAAGGCUUGCUCCAUGUGUGCCACAUGUUCCUCGAAGGUCACGCUAUAAAUCAAAAUAUCAUCGAAGAAGACGAUAAGAAAGCGAUAGAGGAACGACCUGAAAAUCAUAUUCAUAGUCGCCUAGAAGGAUGACGGAGUUGCACAAGCCAAAGGGCAUAACCUUGAAUUCAUAGUGCCCAUGGUGCGUCCGAAAUGCUGUUUUGGCAAUGUUCGGUGAAUGCAUCCGAAUUUGGUGGUAGCCUUGCAAUAAAUCCAAUUUCGAAAUCCAACAAGCUUUGCCCAAUUCAUCGAGAAGCUCAUCGAUGGUGAGGAUAGGAAACCAGUCACAGACAGUCACCACAUUGAGUGCUCUAUAGUCCACGCAAAAUCGCCAAGAGUCAUCAUGUUUCCUGAUGAGCAGCACUAGUGACGAGAAAUGACUUGUACUCGGACUAAUAAGCCCCUUUUGCAACAUUGAUUCCACCUGAAGCUCAAUUUCCUACUUCUGGUAAUGGGGGUACAGAUAAGGACGCACGCUCAUUGAUGCGACUUGUAGAAUUAAGUGGAUGUGGUGGUCAGUCACCCUCUCCAGUGGCAACGAGGAUGGCGGUUGGAAUAAGUAACCAAAGUAAUCCACUAAAGCUUGGAUACGAGGAGGAAGAGGUAUACUGGAGUUCGAAGACUUGGCCUCUGCUAACACCCCAAUAUGAUAGAAGGAGCUAGUAUCUGAUUUACGAGUUAAGCGACGGAACUAGGGUGGGGUCAACAUAGUUAACAUGGGCUCCAUAUCUCCGUGAAGUUCUAUGAAUUGGCCAUCAUAGAAGAACUUCAUACUCAUAGUACUAUAGUUAGUGAGCACCGGCCCAAGCAAUUUUAGCCAUUGUACACCGAGAAUGAUGUUCGCGACGGCAAUGGGCAGCACAUACAGAUCCACCACACAAGUAAAGUGCUGGAUGGUGAGAGAAAUGUUUGUGCAAUAGCGAGUGCAAGCUAAGUGUUGGCCAUUUCCAACCAUAACUCACAGUGGGCUUGUAUCCUAAGUCUGCAAUCCAAGUUGGGCCACCAAUUCCUCUUGGAUGAAGUUGUGGGUGCUCCCACCAUCCACAAGGACAACCACGGAGUGGCCAACGAUCGUGUCAAUCAAACGGAGCAUUUUCGGGGCCAAUUGGCCCGUUAAGGAAUUAAAACUAAUUCGGGAUGAAACCGGGUCAUGGAUAUCGGGUGGUUCUAGGCCCGGGUCAAGUCCUUCUAUAUUAGGGUCAACAACUUCGUCCUUUUCCACGACUAAGAAGAAAACCCUAGAGGCACAACGAUGGCCUCUAUGAUACUUCUCGUCGCAAUUGAAGCAUAGGCCUCGUUCACGACGAGUGAUAAUCUCCUCCGGCGACAGGCGCUUCAAGGUGGGCGGUGGACGGGGUGGAGGCGAGCGUGAAAUUGGAGGAGGGAGCAACGCAGGCGAGGGAGCUGGGCGUGGCUAUGGCACGAGCAAGAUCGGAGGAGCACGGUUGCGGAAGGGGGGUCGCGUGUCCAAGAGCUUUUCUUCCUGGAGACGAGCAAGCCCGGUGGCCUGCACCAAGGUCAGGGGUUGCAACACCUGCACUUCGCGGCGGAUGUCAGGCGUGAGCCCCAAAAUGAAGCAGCUUAGAAGAAAUUGAGGAGGUAGCCAAACUAUUCGAUUGUCUAAGUCCUCAAAGUCUAAAAGAUACUAAGCAACAGUGCCAGUUUGCUGCAGCUUGAAGAGGGUGCCGGUGGGGUCGUUGUAGUGGGAAGACGCGAAGCAGGUUUGGAGUGCCUGGAUGAAAGCGGGCCAAGAAGUAAACUGGCCAUUGUUGGCCAUCCACUGGAACCACGCGAGGGUGCGACCAUCCAUGUAGAAUGAAGAGAUGGUAAGUCGAUAUUGUUUUGGUGUGGCAUGGUAUUGGAAAUAUUGAUUUAUUUUGAACACCCACCCGAAAGGGUCAGUGCCAUCAAAUCAUGGGAUGUCAAGUUUCAUUUUGUAUUGUGUUGCAGGAAUAAGGAAGAAGGUGGGAAUGGGUGGAGUUGCAGCGGAGGAUGAGAAAGAGGAUGGGGGAAGGCGGAGCAUAAGGGCAUCAAACUUCUGGGCCAUUGUGUGGACUGUCUCACCAAGGGAGGCAUGGAGGUCAGUGAGUUUGAGGAUGGCAGCUUCAAGGUUAUUAGAGGAACUGGCGGUGGAGGGAGGGUCAGACAUGGUAACGAGAGCACCAAAUGAUAGGAACAAGCUUGUUAUGGAUUUCGAGGACCAGAGCCUCCUAGAGAAGAAGGAGAGGAAUUAGAGAUAAGUUGUAUUUUUCAUUGAUCUGCAUGUUAUUACAUAACUAUAUUUAUAAAGUAAAUUUCCUAACAAAAUUGUGAUUCUGUUGCUAGGAAAGAUUAGAAGCAAAAACGAAAAGAUCACAGGCAAAACGGUUUUGGUAUUGUUGUCCCCUGAUUCCAGACAACAAUCAUCUGUAGAUUUUCUCUUGAGUCAGCUCAGCAAGAUCCUCACACGUAGUCCUGCAGGUAUGAGGGCUUUGUGAUCGUUCUUUUUGCUCUGUUUUCUAGUUGCACCCCACUGUUAAUGUCUUUACUAGGCUCAUUGCUAGUUGCUUGUUGCACCCCUGUUUCCCUAUCACUAGUUCAGAUCAAUGCGCUACAACUUAAUUAGAUAAUUCAAAUCUGAAACGAUAAAGGGAUAUCAUGCGUAAUGUUUGAAAAGCACGGGUGCAUUUGUAAUAUGUAUAAAAUACAGGGGGUGUCAUGUAAUUGUGUAAUUGAGGGUAAUUUUGGAGUUCAAGUUUUAAAACUAAAUGUAACUUAAUGUUGUUAUGAGAGGAGGUGCCAAGGAAAUGGUUUCAAACGGAGAGAGUUGUCACUAUAAAAAUGACUUCUUAAGGGAAAAAAGAAAGGACUUUUUAAAAAAAAAAUUAAGAAAAUUAUUUAUCUUGUUUAAGAAUAAACAAAAUAUUAAGAUAUGUAUGUUAACAUCUAUCAUUUUGUUUUUUGUUUAAAAAUAAUUAAAUUAGAGAAUAUUUGUAUGAAAUGAAAAAUUUAUCUUUCCAUAUAUUUUUCUCUAAAAAUUUAACUCCCAAACAUAUUUUCAAAAACGCAUAAUGACAAGAUGACAUGUAAAACUUAUCCCUACUUAGAUGUCAAUCACCGUAAGUUAGUUUUUGUUCAAUCACUAACUCAAAUGAGACUUUUGACAAAAGCUAGAGUUAGAUUAUCCAGAUCUCAGUUGAAGAUGCAUAUAUGAUGGAUCACUAGAAAGGCUCUAUAAUGAGUUUUAACACAAGAUUUUACUCUCAAACAUACUUUUAAACAUUCCACCGAAAAUUCAAAUGUACCUAAGUCUAUAUGUGUGUAAGAGAGUAAAGUGUGAUGUAAAAAGAACAUUUAUCGCUCAAGUCACUUUGAUACUCUAGGAUCCAUGUUAAGAAGUUGCAUGAUCAUCCUCCCUAAAUAUUAAGGAUCAUUAGUUCAUUAUGUAUCGUUGUUCGAUUAGCUAUUAGAAAUGCAUGACAGAGAUAAAUAAAUAAGAAUGAAACUAAUUUAAUGCAGAAAACCCUAGAUGGGAAAAAUCAUAAGUAGAGGAGAAUCAAUUCAUUGUAUUGAAAAUUGGUGCAAGAGAGAUUCAAAGAGAACAACUCUUGCAAUAUUAUUAUAUUAAUGAAUAUAAAAUCCAAGUUCAAUAAUAUAAAAGGUCCAUACUGAUAGGACUUCAAACUAUUAAAAAAAAACAUUUUCAACAUAGCUGUAUCAAUAUCAAUUCUCUUAAAAAUGAUGAUAAAUAAAAUAUGGUGAUAAUUUUAAAAUUAAGUGUAAUUUGUGGACAUCGAUUAUUAAAAAAAUAAAUCUUAAAAAGAUUUUCAAUAUUUGUUAUUUAAAAAUUGAUGCUGAAUUUAUUUAAAAGACAAAUCGGAUAUUAUAAAAGGCCACGAAAUGUGAUCAAGAACUAAAUGUCAGUUACAACCGCAAACCAACUAAGAAAAAUAAAACAGAUUCACAAACAAACUCAAAAACAUUGUAUUGGAUCAUAACACCAAUUAGCAAAAGAAAAAGCCACUUAAGCAUGCUCCCUUAUAUUUAAACCACGUCCUGGAUAUGGUUUGAAUAUGCCACAACAUUGUCCGAACAUCAGCUCUUGCAUUCUUGAAAACAAUGCGAUUUCUGUGAAGCCAAAUAUUCCAACAAGUAACAUGCCAUAGCAAAUAACGAACCUUUCGAAAUCUAUUUCCCCUACUCAAUAAACCAUCACUAUUAGAAAAUAUGCUUUCUACAUCGGUUAUUUAUGACUUUCAACAUCGGUUUUUCAACCGAUGUUGAAAGUACCGACGUUGAUAAUAUUAUCGUUAACAUCGGUUUUUGAAAAACCGAUGUUAACGUAAAAUUACCAACAUCGGUUAUAUAAAUAACCGAUGUUGCUAAUAUGAAUUACACCCAGAAAAUGUAUAUUAAUAUUGAAAGUUAACAUCGGUUUUUACAAAAAACCGAUGUUAACGAAUGUGUUACUGUUGACAGUUAACAUCGGUUUUUUUACAGAAAAUCGAUGUUAACGUUCGUUAACAUCGGUUUUUAUAAAAAACCGAUGUUAACGAAUGUGUUACUGUUGACAGUUAACAUCGGUUUUUAUAAAAAACCGAUGUUAACGAAUGUGUUACUAUUGACAAUUAACAUCGGUUUUUAUGAAAACCGAUUUUAACGUGGGUUAACAUCGGUUUUUUCAAAAAACCGAUGUUAACGGAUGUGUUACUAUUGAUAGUUAACAUCGGUUUUUUCAAAAAAUCGAUGUUAACCCACGUUAACAUCGGUUUUUAUAAAAAACUGAUGUUAACGAAUGUGUUACUAUUGAAUUUUAACAUCGGUUUUUUUUACAGAAAACCGAUGUUAACGAAUGUGUUAUUGUUGACAGUUAACAUCGGUUUUUUCAAAAAACCGAUGUUAACGAAUGUGUUAUUGUUGACAGUUAACAUCGGUUUUUUCAAAAAACCGAUGUUAACGAAUGUGUUUUUUUUAUAUAAUGUCUUUGUUUUUACAAAAAAAACCAAAAUUUAACCUGUAAAUUUAAAAUCAGGCCACACAGCACACAACAUAUAUAAUUUGCAUUCAGUUUUCAAAUAGAUUUUAGCAAAAAACUAGCUAUCAACAAAGGUUGUUCAAUGUUAAGAUGAAACAACAAUUGUAAAAAAUGUAAUGCAAAGUACGUAAACUAAUUUAUUAACCUAAAGUUACAUAGUUGCCUAACAUCCUAUGUUUGAUUUCUAACUUUUAGAUAAUACUGUGCCCACUGUAUGCGAAGUGCCUUAAAUCUCUCUGCUUCCAAUGGUCUAACUUCAUUAAAAUACUGCAUGAUCAAAUAAAAAAAUAAAUUAAUAAUGUAAUAACAAUUAUAAAAAAACCAAAUUUGUUUGUAAUAAACAAUUACCGUCUCCCAAUUAUUCUUGAAAGAUCCUAAGAUUAUCGUGGACAUCCAGUGCAUCACGUAGUAGCCACAUUCAGUGAUUCCUUUUUGUCUAUUACACUAAAUACAUAAUGAAAUUUGGAUAUUAAUUAAACGUUAACUACAAUUAGUGUACACACACAUAAAAUAUAUAUAAGUAGAACUUUUAUUUAAAUCACGUACCUUAACAACAAUCCACCUAGCAGCAGCCUUAGAUUUCGGUUGUGGAGUAUCAUCAAAUCCUUUCAAAGCACUAGUGUUGAAUAUAAGGAACAUUAAAAUAUUGAUGUUGUUGAGUUAUUCCAAUGAAAAUGUAUUGAAAACAAUACUGACCUGUUAAUUAUUCCCUUAAGGUAGUUGUCUGGCCUGUUAUGCAAAGAACAAAACCAGACAACUAGGUUUUCCUUAGGUAGAAUGACGACCAUUUGUCAGUGUCCACUGCAGUAGAGACGAAUAUAGUUUAUUGUAGUAGUAUAGAUUAUUUAAAUUCAAUUAUUGUGUUUGACUUACCUAUUCAGAUAGGCUCCAAGGUAAACAUCUCAUUUUGAACUCUGUAUCCAACUCUUGAUGUAACUUUCGGAUUCAAAUUGUGAUUGCCCAGAUCUCUGAAUGGACUGUGGCUCGAGGAAUCCAUACACAUCAGAAUUCCCCGCUCGCACACUUGUCUCAGUCAGAUGGCUGUGUUGUUAAGUCAAAGUUAAUUAUGUAUGAAUUUAAAACAAUUACUUUGGUAAUUAAUAGUAAUCUAAAAUGACUUACAGAAUCCACAACUGUAUAACAGAUAUGCUGAGACAUUGACCACCAUGUGCAAUUUCAGAGAGAUCUUCGUGCUUUAUAUACAACGGGAAGUUUUGAUUAAACACCCCGAAUAUGGUAGCAUCCCACAUAACCUGGAGCGGCUUCAAAAACAGUUGUGGGAUGAUCAAUGUCAUUAGGUACAGGGGAUCAUCGACCUCUUCAUCCGGGCUUUCUGGAGGUUUUGCUGGAGACACAACUGCCUAUUGAUAAAACAUAGUUAAUUAACAAGUUUUGAUUACAGUGAACAAAUUAAUUGAAAAAAAAUAAACAUAUAAUCAGAGUAAAAUACCUGUUCUGAUAAACGCUUCACAAGAUGUGUUAGCCAAACAAGGAAAGUGUUAAGUGCCUGCCCCACUAAGGUAACCUCGUCAGUGGGUACAGGAACGAGAGCCUCUAUAUCUUUAACCUCCUCAACACCAACCUUGACUUGGCCAUGCAACAACGGGAUGUUGUCCAAUUUUCUUCGUGCGGGCCAUCUUCCAUUUCACGUGGCGUCUGAUGGGAGAUGGAGGGUCAAUGAUGCCCUCAGUGCUUCCAGACUGGGAAGCUUCUUCCAGUCUUUUCUUUGUCUUCUCAGCCAUGAACUUUUCUUCUAAAUAUUCAUAACCCCCACGAGACAAUACGUGGGGGGCAGUGUUUUGCUUCUGGGAGGCCUGUGCCUUUUUCCGUACAUCCUGCAAAAGUUUAACAUUAAUGAAAAUGAUUAUUACAAUAAAUUAUAAGAAGUGAUUUUGUUGUGGAAAACAACUAAAAUGACAAAGUACAUACCUCCCAUGAGGGGUCUCUGCGGGUCUGACAAAACUGAGUCCAUUUCUCCUUGCUAAUGCCAUAUUUUUCACAGACAAUGUCGUCCGCACCGUCCUUGUCGACUGCAAGUGCCCAUUUCCUAGUCAAGUCAGAUUUAAACUGCCUCCAGCGCUCGCCGACAAUCUGAAGAAUUUUCUUCUUUGUCCUAUUAUCAGAAGCUUCAGGGAUUUGAAAUUCCGCCUGACAAACAAUAAAUUAGGUUUUGUUGUAAGUAAAUAACAAAUUUAGACUAUUAAAGAAAAUCAACGAAGAAAACUCAAAUACCUGAAUAUCCUCCCAUAUCAAAUCCUUCUGAGCAGUAGGGACUUCCUUCCAGGUGUCAUAUGUCACGUCGACCUUAUCACGAGCGAAAAUCCCCAAAUAUGUUCUUAAUUUCUUCUUGUGGGGACCGUCGGCCUUGCCGGUAGCAGGAUCGACGUUGACCACAGGUCUUUCUGCCCCAGGUGGUCUAGUGGCCAAUGAUCGUAGCCGUGUCGCCUUGCGUGUCCGCUUCAACGUAGAUGGAGACGCAUCAGCGUCUGCAGGAGGAGGAGGAAGAGGAGGAGGAGGCGAGGCAGGUGGAGUAUCCAUGGUCCUUUAAAGAAAAAAAGUUGAGUUAGUUAAUAUUAUCAAAAAACACUGUAUGAGUUAUGUAAAUGAAUGUACCGAAAUGAAAUAUUAUAUUAGAAAAUUACGUUAGACGAUGUUAAUUAAUUCUCGUUCAUCAUGAUCAUUACGAUUAGCAUGAACGUCGUCAGCUUCUUCUUCUCCGACGUUGUUAGAAGUCAUUUGUGUAGACAAAGGACUAACAUAAGUGUCCAUGUAUGAAUCAUCAUCUUCUACAUUAACACCAAUUGUUUUCCCGUUUAGAACCACAGACCACCUUUCAUCACAAGGGUCUUGCACAUAAAAUACUUGCUUAGCUUGUUCUGCCAUGAUGAAAGGGUCAUUCUGGUAAGCUAGUUUCUUUAAGUCUACCAACGUAAAUCCUACAUCAUCAGUCCGCACACCGGUGUUGCUGUCAACCCACUUACAUUUGAAAACACAAACAGUAAAUUUGACAUAGUUAAGCUCCCAUAUUUCAUCAAUGAAGCCAAAGUAAGGGAUUGAAGCUACAAAGGGAUUGUCAUCAUGUACAGUUGCAAAGUGUUGAGAUUCAGCCCUUAGGGUGACCCCGCUGUUUUGCAUUGUACUUUUGUCGUCUUGUGCUUUUGUGUAAAAGGAAUACUUGUUUAUGUCGUAUACUUGUUUAUAACAUUUCUUUUAGGCCCAUGAGCUAGCUUUCUUAAUGUUUCAGAAGCAUUUUCGUCAGCAAAGAUUGUAUCUUUAAACCAAUCAGAGAAAGUCUUGUUAUGAUUUUUCAAGACCCAGUUCUUUGACAUUUUUGGAUUACUUUGUUUGACUAAAUGUUCAUGCUGAACUAUGUAUGGCAAAACUUCAUUACUGUUAUUCAAUACAUACAAGUGAGCUUGUAACAAAUCUUCUACACUUGGAGUGAUAACAUGCAGUCCUCUUGAACCUUUAUCGCCCACUCUGUCGUCAUGGCGAGACCAGGAAGGCCAACAGGUUUAGCCUUUUCAAUGUAUUAUGAACAAAAUUCAACGGCUUCUUCUACGAUGUACCUUUCAACAAUAGAUGCUUCUGGACGAUGUAGAUUCUUGGUAUACCCUUUUAAGAUCUUCAUGUAGCGCUCAACCGGAUACAUCUAGCGCAGAUAAACAGGACCACAACAUUUGAUUUCUCUGACCAAGUGAACAAUUAAGUGGACCAUGAUGUCAAAGAAAGCAGGAGGUAAAUACAUCUCCAACUAGCACAGUAUAAUUACAGCCUCGUUUUCCAAGUCAUCAAACUUGACCGGAUCAAGGACUUUGCUACAUAUGGCAUUGAAGAAAAAGCACAGGCGAGUUAUGGCUAACCUGACUUUGUUAGGCAAAAUGUCUCGUAUGGCCACGGCUAACAAUUGUUGCAUCAACACGUGACAAUCAUGAGACUUUAACCCCACCAGUUUAAGCUCCUUGAACUGCACAAGGCUCUUAAUAUUUGAAGAGUAUCCUUGUGGUACUUUAACCUGGCGCAGACACUGGCACAAACUGAUCUUCUCCUUUUUGGAUAAAGUAUGACAAGCUGGAGGCAAGUAUAUUUUUUUACCAUCAGACCUUGGAUGCAACUGCGAUCGUAUGCCCAUGUCAGCUAGAUCUUGACGGGUAUUUAGACCAUCUUUCGUCUUGCCCUGAAUGUUAAGGAGUGUCCCAAUGACACUGUCACAUACAUUUUUCUCUACAUGCAUAACAUCAAUACAAUGUCUAACAUCUAGAUCAGACCAGUAUGGAAGAUCAAAGAAAAUGGACCUUUUCUUCCAUAUGCAACUCUUACUUUUAUCCUUCUUUUGGGUCUUUCCAAAUACAGUAUUAAGGUGUUCAACCCGCUGGAAGACCUGCUCACCAGUUAAUGGUGUCCGCGCAGUUUCGUGCUCUUGACUUCCAUUAAAAGCUUUUUUCAAUCUUCUGUAAGGGUGAUGAGCUUUUAGAAAACGGCGAUGUCUAGUGUACACUGUUUUUCUACCAUGUUUCAGUUGUAUGUAGCUUGUGUCUUCUUCACAGAUGGGGCAUGCAAGAUGACCCUUAACACUGUAACCGCUGAGAUUCCCAUAUGCUGGAAAGUCAUUAAUGGUACAAAAUAGCAUUGCACGCAUUUGAAAAGUCUCCUUGCGAAACCCAUCAAACACUAAAACCUCCUCAUCCCACAACUUUCUCAGGUCUUCAAUCAACGGACUUAGAUAAACAUCAAUGUCAUUUCCUGGUUGUCUUGGGCCUGAUAUCAUCAUAGACAACAUCAUGUAUUUUCGCUUCAUGCACAACCAAGGCAGAAAAUUGUAAAUUACUAGUAGAACUGGCCAUGAACUGUGUUGAGUGCUUAAAUUUCCAUAUGGAUUCAUUCCAUCACUGGCUAGUCCAAGUCUAAGAAUUCUUGCCUCUUUGUCAAAAUUCGGAUACAAACUAUCAAUCUUCCUCCACUGGGAGCAAUCAGCUGGAUGACGGAUCAUUCCAUCAGAUUUUCUCCCAUUUGCAUGCCAGGUAAGAUCUUUUGUGUCGUCCUCAUUAGCAAAUAAACGCUUAAACCUUGGAAUGAUGGGAAGAUAUCACAACACCUUCGCUGGAGGGCCCUUCUUUGAGUUUUCAUCAGAACUGCAGUCCUCAUCAUCCUUCACCUUGUACCGUGACGCCCCACACCUAGGGCAUUUUGACAUUUCUUCAAAUUCAUGUCUGUACAGUAUGCAAUCAUUAGGGCAAGCAUGAAUCUUCUGAUACUCCAUACCCAUCGGACACAAUAUCUUCUUUGCCUGAUAGUAGCUUUUAGGCAAUGUGUUAUCCUGUGGAAGCAGAUCGUGCACUAUUUGAAGCAAUGAAGUAAAGCUUUUAUCACUCCAUCCAUAUCUAGCCUUGACAUUAACCAGACAAUAGCGUCAAGGAAUUGUUGCACCCCGGAUACAAAGGCUUUUUUGAGUCACCCUGCAAUCUUUCAUACACAGGGGCAUGUGCUUGCUGGAAAGACUCUUCUCCAAGGUCACGAAUCAUAUCCUCCAAGCGAUCUCCCAUUUCUACAUCAAACGGUUCGGAUUGUUGCCCACUCUGCAUGUCUGUCAUUUCACCAUGUCAUAUCCACGUCGUAUAAUUUCUCUUAAUUCCAUCACACAACAGAUGCUCUCGUAUGUCAUCCAGUAUUUGUCGUCUUCCGUUCAAAUAAUUGAUGCAAGGACAAUAAUAUUUUCCAUCUUCAUCCGGUUGACCUCUUUGUGAAGCAAAUUGUAAGAAUUGCUCGACGCCUUCCUCAUAUUCUGGGCUGAUGCGACUUUCAUUCAUCCAACUUCGAUCCAUCUAAGUAAUAACUCGAUCAUACUCUCAAAGUUAUUCGAUGCAUGAAAAUCUCACUUUUUUAUUAAAGGUGUGACCCUAUUCCAUUCAGGAAGACCGUCUUUUAUGGUAGCUUCAUACAUCAGGGUUAAUUCUAUUUUGUUAAAUUUGACAAAAUUUUGGCAGCAUUUCGCAUUGGUCUCCAAGUACACGACAUGAAAUCGGUGAAAUUAACUUCCCGAUAAUCAAGUAUGCACUCAGAGAACAACUAGAAAUGUAUUACCGAAAUUUCAUCAAAUUAAACAAAAUAAUUUUAACCUUAACACAUGAAUCUACUAUAAAAAUAUCAGUCUCCCCAAACUGUCCAAACAGACAAUUCAAGAUUGAAUACAAUGAUUAAUGUAAACUGUCCACAAGAAUCAUUGCAUCAAAUCUCAAACGGGAAUCUAAGGUUCACUCAUCAUGAACACAAUUUGUAUAGCAUAUAUCAAUUGUCAUUAAUGGCAGUGAACACGUAAUAAAAAUAUUCAUUAGUAACAAAAAUUUGUACCUGUGAUGAUGAGCAGCACGAUCCAAAAUGAAAGCAAGAAUCAAAGAAAUAAUUGAAUGAACACCUACAUAAGACAAUCUUGCGUAUGAUAAAAAAAAAGAGUAAGAUUAAGUAUAAUAAACGCUCAGAAGAUAUGAGAACAAUUUAUUCUAAAUUAUAUUAAAUUUAUUCUAGAAAGGAGAGUUCUUAAAGAUAUGAGACAUAAAAGGAAGUGCAAACAUACAAUAUUGGUUGCUCUUUAAACAUGUCGAUUUUAUAUCCUAGCUAGUAGAGCACCUAACUAUUUUACCAUUCAAAACAAAGUAUCCAAACAUGGAAUGAGGAAGCAUUGGAAACAUGUACCAGCCCCUGAAACAACUUUCUCAGUUUAACUCUUCAUUAAAUAAACUCAAAAUGCCAAAAUGAUCACCAAAUACAAUAGGAUUUAUACCAAAAUCAGAUAAUAAUACCAUAAAUCCAGUUCUAUAAGUUAUAAACUAAGUUCUUAGUUAAACUAAAAUACCAUAAAUAUAUAUAUAUAUAUAUAUAUAUAUAUAUAUAUAUAUAUAUAUAUAUUCAUUAAUGUGCGGGAAAAAAAAUCAAGCUAGUAAUUUGGUGUGAAUUAGAAGGAAUACCAGGAUUCCGUUUCAGUAUAGCUGCAUGGAGUGGAGAGUUUCCAAAGCACAGUGGAAGCUAGCUUCUCAACAGAUAGCCUGUUUAACCAAGUAUGAUUAAUUAAUUAAUUAAUUAAUCAAUUUCUGUUCGUUGGAAUAACUAUAAAAAUAAAAUAAAAAAUUGUUACAUAGCAAUCGUGAGCCACGAUCAAAGGCCAACCAAGUCCUUGUAUACAAGACAAAAAAUUAAAAUAAAUAUUCUCAUUUCCAUGUACCAAAAAAAUGAAAAUUCAAUAUAAAAUAUUCUUCACCGUCUUAGAAAUAUCCAUAUUCCAAGUGAAUUUUGCUAAUUGCCAGCUCUAGUGGUAAAGAGUGUGUUUGUUGCUCUUAUGAAUUAGUAAGUAAUUGGUUCUCUAUAUACACCGAGUAGAACCUUAGUUAAGAUAGCUUUCAAAAAGAGACCUUAGAAUUGAAACUUAUUUCCGAAAAAGGAUAACCAAAAUGUUAAAAAAUCUGGUUCUUCUUCAUAUUACAAGCAGAACACCAAAAAUUGAGACAACCAUAUGCAGAAAAAAUGACAAAAAUUGGAUGUGAACAAAUUAGAAUCCGAGUAUUGGUGCAAAUUUAUAAAUUAAUUAUUAAAAUGAAUUCUUUUAAAACAUAUUCUUAAUCUGAGGUUAUUUUUACUACAUUAGCAUAAAAAUCACAACCCAAUAAAAAGCAAUUUUUAAAACAUAUAUAAAAAUCACAGUAGAUAAAUAGCAAUUUUUUAAGCGUAUUAGUAGGAGUUUGAUCCCUGACAAUGUGAAUACAAAAAAUUAGUCUCUAAUUAUUGGUUGGUCAAAACAUAUUCUUGGUGAGAGAAAAAAAACAUAAAAAUGAUUAAAUAAACUAACAAUUUAUGUGUUGCAUAAUUUAUUUCUCCCCCUAGUUGAUGUUAAGGUACGGAAAAGUGUAAGUUAAAAAAAUGGUUUGGUGAAAUGCAAAUACUGUCCAACAUUAGCAUGUGCAUUAAUUUUGAGGCUUAAUUAAAUCAGUAUCGAACUACAACUCCCCCACUCAUUCGACACAUACAUGUACUUUGUGUUCAUGUAUUUAUUUUAAUCGACUAUAACUGAUUUUAAUUUAAGCCUUAGAUUCAAGCUUUUGCUUUAUCUCAAUUGUUCCUAAAAACAAAAAGUAAACAACUACAAGCAUUACUACACUAACCAAAUUCUGAAUGUAUGAUACAAUGGUGCGUAUUUUAUAUUACUAUUUACAAACACAACUGAAAUUUAAAGCAAGCACUACUAGUCCAAGAUCUAUACUAUUGCAAUUUCCAACUGUUAGUUUAUUAGUGGCUAAAAGAGUUGGUAAAAGUUAACCAGACUAAUUAAAUAAUAAUAUGCCCUGUUUCUAUAUAUUGUUACCAUAAAUAUAUUUAAAAAAUCAGACCAGGCUUAUUGCUUUAAGUUUUUCACUAUAUAUAAAAAGGUCUCAAAUUGAUACAAACCAGUAGGAUGACAAAAAAUGAGGGACGUAAGACCAAUAUUGAUGAGUAGAAACUCAUUUUUUAUCAGCAUGCACAAAUUAGAUAUUCUUUUGCAUUGGUAAAAUAUCAAAAGGAAACUUAUUUAUAUAAAUUGUAUGGUUAGCUAAAAAGGUAAACACAAUAUUGUAAUUUAAACAUAAAAUCCAACAAUUAAGAUUUGGAAAUUGCUACCCGUUAAAUCAUCAUAAAAUUAAGUAGAUUCGGUAAACUUUUGAUAUUCAAAGGGGCAUCUUACCAGCAUUGAUGCAGUAGCUCCUACCUGCAUAAGAAAUCGUAACACCACUUUGGGUGCACAUAGUCUUGUGAAGCAUAUUUCAAAAUUAUAAACUGUUUUAGGUUGACUCCCGUAAAACAUGGUUCACAACUUCACAUAUAUAUUUUUAAGUUGAAUUUCAACAAUUUGUUAAAAAAUGGAAAGAAGCUUAGAAAAGAAAAAUUAAUGAAUGGUCAUAUAUAUAUAUAUAUAUAUAUAUAUAUAUAUAUGAUUAAAAAUAAAUUAAAAUUUGAACAUUGCUUUGCAUUAUCAGCCAUAGAUUUCUUUUCUCAUGAACAUACACAGGAGUUCUCAUAACGGGGAUCGGAUCCUCUCCUUUAGUAAAUAAAUCUUACUCCACCAAAGUGUAUAUCAUUUCCAUUUUAUUUAUUUUUUCAAAGCCUUAUAAAAUAGAAGAAAUCAAGGAAAAAAGAAAUAUGAAGAGGAUCCAUUUCCCUCGCAACGAUAUUGAUGAUAUGAAAUACGAAUCCUCUUCGCAGAGAUAUCUCUACCUCUUUGAAUCAGUUUUUCAAUCUUUUUAUGUAUCCAUCAUUUGUUUUCUUCUUUUCAAUUGAAAAAGCUCCACCGAAACAAAGCAUUCAUUUCAAAGAAACGCAGCGAACAAUAGAAAUCAGUAACAGAAAAACACAACAUGAAGGCAUUAAUAUAAAAGAGAAGAAAAACAAGUUUACGCCCCACACCUUUCUUGCCGUGGCGUUAUCGGCUGCUUCUUGCCUUUCUUCUAGAAGUUUCACGCCCCUUCCUUUCUUGCCUUUCUUUUGGCUGCUUCUUGCCUUUCUAUUAUUUUCCCUUGAUAAAAAAUAAUACUAUAAAUCCUUCUAUAUAUGUAAACUAUAAUCAGAAUAACUAUCUUGAAUGAAAGCUCUUUUAGUUGUUAUUCUUGAGCGUGAGUAUUUUAAGAGUUUUUUUUUCCCAUCUCUUUCAACCUCUAGUUCUAAUUUAAAUUUAAAUUUUUUAAAAGAAAUUACGAAUAAUUAAAAAUAAUAAUAUAUCACAUAUAAAUUAUUUAUUAUAAAUUUAAAAUAUAACUUUUAUGUUCAAAAAUAUUUAUUUAUUAUAAAUUUUAUUCAGAAUAUAAUUUAUAUAUUAUAAAUUAUAAAUUUUAGUUAUAUGAAAUAAAUAUUUAUUUUUUGCAAUAUAUUUGUUAAAAUAUUGUAGUAAUAAUUUAUUUAUAUAAAAUUAUUCACUUCCUCUUUUAUCUUGAUAUACAUGUAAUCGAUGCAAAUAAAUCCAUAUUUAAUUUUAUAAUAAACCGAAGAUUCUAGAUCGAAUAUCAUAUUAAUUAAUCUUAAUAUCAUCCAAAUAAAAAUAUCUGUUUGCUGUAUGUGUAUCAGUGUAUCUACUGUGUCACUCUCACAGGUGCCUUUUUCUCUUAAUCCCUCUCACUACACGGUUCCUUUAUUUUUUAUUUCUAUUUUUUGGUAGAAAGAGAAAAUGCAACUUCUUUUGUGAAGAGUUAUCUUCCCACAACGUAUGUCUUAUAUUCCUAAAUCAAUCUUAUCUUUUGAAUUUUUUUAUUAUGAUUAUCAUUGAAGAAAGAGACAAAUUCCAAUCUUAAUUAUUAUUUUUAAUUUUAAUUCAAAAAAAUAAAGAAAGAAAAAAAUUGGAAUGCACUUCUAUUCAUAAAUUGACUCACAAUAUAGUCAGUUUUUGUUUCCAAAUUUGAAGGACCAACGCCUAAAGGCAACCAAACUAAACAAAGUCCAGACUUUUCGAAUAAGAAAAAAUUAUUUAUACCAAAAGAUUAUUAUUAAUAAGUAAUUUUUAAGAUGCAAAGCAUCGGGUUUCUUUACUUAUUUAAAUAACUAUUUUGGUAUCGAUAAUUUAAUUUAAAAAAUGAUAAAUGUAAUAAAAAUAAAUUACAUGUGGAUUAUAAUUAACUCUAAAUUUAAAGACUUAAAACAUAAUUUUCGUGUCUCAUGAAAAUAUUUUUAUUUUUGUUCUGAAAAUUUUGUUUAGAAAUAAUGAAAAUAUCAUUUUUUUUAAAUCCUACAAAUAUAUGAGAUAACUAUAAUUAUUUAAAUUAAACCACUGUAACAUAUAUUUUCAAUAAAUCAAAUUAAUAUAUACAAAUAUUUUAAUUUAUUUUUAAUUUAAAGAUAAUACGAUAACAUAAAUAUAGUAGGAUUUCAUAGAAUUUUUAAAUAAUAUUCUCCAUUUACCUUUUUAUGAAGAUUUUUUUUAUUUUUAUAAUAAUUAAAUCAAAAUAUAUUAGUAAUAAAUUUUUAAUUUUUUUACGAUAUAAUUGAUUUUACCAACAUUCUAUAAAAAUUCUAUAAACAGUUUUUUUUUUCAAUUGAACUAAUAUCAAAUAAUUUAUAUAAAUGUGUGUUAUAUUUAAAUGAUAAUCAUGAAAUAAUAAAAUUAAAAUUACGAAAUUCAUUUUAAAAAUUUAGUUUAAUUUUUAAAUGUUUACCUUUUGAAUUUAUUAUUGUUUAUUACUUAUUAUUUCUUUACUUACCAUAUAAUUAAUUUUAAAAUAUAUAAAUGAGUAGAAAAAAAGUUUAUAUUAACAUCGGUUUUUUCAAAAACCGAUGUUAACAUCAUUAGUUAACAUUGGUUUUUGAAAAACCGAUGUUAACAUGUGAUACGUUAACAUCGGUUUUUCAAAAACCGAUGUUAACAUGUGAUAUGUUAACAUCGGUUUUCCAAAAAAUCGAUGUUAACGUAUAUGCAUUAACAUCGGUUUUUUGAAAAACCGAUGUUAACAUAUCAUACGUUACGGUUUUUGAAAAACUGAUGUUAACUAAUGAUGUUAACAUCGGUUUUUCAAAAACCGAUGUUAAUGUGUAUGCAUUAACAUCGGUUUUUUGGAAAACCGAUGUUAAGAAUAAUAUUUUAUUUAUAAAUAUGCUACCGCGUUUAACUUAACAUCGGUUUUUCAAAAAAUCGAUGUUAAUAAACCGAUGUUAAAACUGCUUUUUGUAAUAGUGCAUGUUGAAUGAGAUGAGAUCUCACUUGAUUGUGCUGCACCAUAUAAAACCGCAACCAGCUAUAUACCGCAGACCAGACCUGACCCGCAAAAACACAACCAAGAAACAAAUGAUCCACAUUUCCCACCUACCAUCACACAAAACACAAUCAGCACCAUUAAUCUUUAUAUGGAUAAACUGAAUUUGGGUUGGAUCUUCAACUUAUUAUCUGUAACACCUAUAUUAUAAUCUUCGAUUAAUUUGAUUAACACAUUUAAAAUAUAAAAUUAGAUUAAUUAGAAUUUUAGUGAAUUUAUCUGUACAUAUAUAAGUCUUAGAUGUUUUUUCUUUUUACGAAAAUAAGUCUUAGUUGUUAAUUCAACUGAAAUUUAAAAUAUACUGUAAAACAGAUAGUAACAGUUUUAUUAUGUGAAAUUUGACCAAAGCAUUGAUGCAUGGGGUUUGACCGAAACACACCCAGCCAAGGGGAAGGAGGAUUUUGAUGUUCACAAACUUUGAAUUAACUGAAAUUUGAAUUCCACCAAGUUUUAAACCUAAAAACCAUAAUCUCUCAUUGAUUGUGUGCAUCACUCACACUUUUUCUCUCGUCAACUCUCAUUUCUUUCCAAGAAGCCGAGCCUCUUCCUUACCAAAACCAAACAUAUACUAUAAUUUAAUCAACACACGUAAAGAAAGGGUACGUACAAAAGGAAAAGGUAAUAGCAAAAUUAUAAAUUACAAAAGAUAUUUUCAACAAAAUAAUAAACCCAGUCUUAAUGUCCAACUAUACAAGGAUUUAAUUUUUUAAACGCAACACUAACUUAAUUCAUGUGGCUCAGGAAAAAAAUUAAGGACAAAGAAAACCAAGUAAAUGGGUUAGAAAUUAAGUUGAACAAAAAUCCUCAAUUUUAAUAUUUUUUUUAUACAAUAUAUAUAUAUAUAUAUAUCAAAGUCUUUGAUAAACUUUCGUUCAAUUUGUAAUAUAUCACACAACUCUAUGAAUAGUUUGCAAAAAAUGGUCAGAAAGUAAGGGAUUCAUCAGGGAGAAGGAUCGAUGCAUCAUGCACGAGUGUACAAAAUUGUAGACUUUUAGCAUCCACAAAUUUCUUAAGUCAGAGAUUAAACACAGAGCAUACACAUGUUUAAUGUCGUUGAUCAUCUAUAACUAAUAUUUCAGUCACGCAUUAAAUUGAAGUAGGUACCUUGCUUAUAAGACUAAAAGAGAGAGGACAAAGGAGCAGCAUAAAUUGCAUUUGACUUGUUGACUGCUAAAGCUUCUCAUUUUCCACUGAUUGUUACUACUUUUUGAAAAUUUCUUGCUUCUUUUACUAGCAUGCAGAAGACAAAAGAAAAGAGCUUAGGUCGUAUUCAAAAGUAACUAAUGAAAAUGCAAAAAGGGUACUAUCACCAUCUAAAAGAACUGCUAUAAGAUCAAAAGGCAAUACCAUUAAACUGAUCAAAGUUUAUUAAAUUUCAGCUCCCUGCAUGCAAUUCAUAAUGGAGAUAACACUUUGUUAAUGAUUGUGUAAGUGCCAAAGUGAUCACCACAAAAGACAACAAAAAAGCGCAGUGUAUGGACUUUUGCUCUUUUA
rnacentral:lncRNA from 1 species